ensembl:lncRNA
GUCUCCUCGCCACUUUCCCUUUCUCCUUAUCACGUAACACUAUGUUCUGUGAACACUGCCACUGCUGACAAGACUAUCAAUUCUGUCCAUAAAGGCUAUUUAGCAUUCCAGCAGAGCACUGAGAACCGGAGCGUGUCACAGUCCUGGGCAUUUGGGCCCUCACAGGAGCUUUCCUCCAGACAAAAAAGGAAAGGAGAGAAGGCAAUUCUAUUUUCUCAAAGCAGAGAAGAGCUGGCUGCUAGAGAAGCAGAGCGAGCACCAUUUCUCUCUGCUGCUCAUCCCAUCUGUGACGCUCCACCCUGGAGAGGCCUUUCCCUGAGGCUAUGUGCGGGAGGACUGGAUGACCUGACAACGUGGUGAGGAGUGUGGUCCUGCAGGGCGACCCCAGCUCACAAGGAACUGAACUGCAGUUGACAUUCAAGGUGAUGGCUGCCUCUUCCUUCACCCUGGAGGCUUGGGAUGAUGCGUUGGUUGCUAGUGUUGUCACUGGCAGCAGGAGUGAGCAGUGAAGUGUGGAAUGGCUGGACCUCAGGCACUGUCAAAAAGAAGGGAAAGUAUGGAUUGUUUGCUGACAGCUGCAGCCUUGACUGUAGAAGCAGAAGAGGUCCCAAGGGUCAAUUGCAUCCCUACCUGGCUGGACUACAUCCCAGUUGGCUUGAGAAUAUCCAGCUGCCAGGGAGGUACCUGGAGGUGGAGUUAGAGCUGGCAUGGAGAAUGGGGGUCCAGGGCAGAAAACCAACCUCCAACCUUUGUCAUCUUCCCCUAGGAAGUCCCCUUUCUCUCUGGUUCUGGAUUGAAAGCUUCUUUCCUGGGUGACUUUGGGACCUUGACAUCCUCCAGGGGACAGGGCAGUGGACUGGAGCUUUGUGACUAUCCAGAUGUCAGACUCAGCCUCCCCAGGCAGGACCUCUGACAGUUGCAAGGCACUCUGUUCCCGACAAAGCACUUCUGCAUACAUAGCUUCUUCAGGCUUCCUGAUGGCUCUGAACCACGCUUACCACUUUACUGGAUUCAUUGUGAUAAACGGCCAGAUCAUACCAUCGAAACAUUCUUUGCUCCUCCAAGCUUCUUUUGAGCACAUGUAACUCGAUGGAUCGUAGAGCCUCGCCCUGCAAGGUGCUUCUGAAAGCACAAUGGAGAGGGGCAUCGCUUGUCAGCGGCAAGGGCUGUCUUUGCCUGGUGCUCAUUGACUGGCUGCCUCUUUCGCUCUGUGCUAAGCAGUAAGCAGACACAGUCUCUCCCCAGGUGUCCUACAAACUGUGCUUGCACUGGCUGCCUCCCAGUCUGCUCAUAAAGCGGAAUGAUGCAGCCUGUGAGCUGAGCUGCCAUACGGGUGGUGCUGGGCUGCUGCAUUUGUGAGAUUCUGAAUGACCCAGGAGACCCAACUCCUGGGAACAAGAGGAGACUACACACAAACAGGAACAAUCCUUAUCAGUGUGUGUAAUCAGUGACUGUUAGGCCUACUAAAAUGCACAGUGUGGAAUAUCAUGCCAUUUGAUCAGGCUUUAAAAAUGUCCAGAGAAAUGCAUCUGAAUAAAGAGUGCAUGUCCUUGUGUGUGUGCUAA